rnacentral:rRNA from 1 species
GUUGGUGAGGUAAUGGCUUACCAAGGCUAUGACGGCUAUCGGCUCUUAGCGGAGAGUCCGACACAAUGGGACUGAGACACGGCCCAUACUUCUACGGAAGGCAGCAGUUAGGAAUUUUGCGCAAUGGACGAAAGUCUGACGCAGCGACAUCGCGUGUAGGAUGAAGGCCUUCGGGUCGUAAACUACUUUUUGGGAGCUAUGAAGGCGCCCAGAAUAAGGAACUACUAACUACGUGCCAGCAGUCGCGGUAAUACGUAGGUUCCGAGCGUUACCCGGUUUUAUUGGGCGUAAAGCGUCUGUAGGUGGUUUUCUAAGUCUUAUUUCAAAGACUCUGACUCAAUCAGAGAGAGGGGUAGGAUACUGGAAGGCUAGAGUUAUAUCGGGGUUACUGGAAUUUUUGGUGUAGGGGUAAAAUCCGUGGAUACCAAAAAGAACACCAAGCGCGAAGGCGGGUAACCAGGUAUACACUGACACUGAGAGACGAAAGCUAGGGUAGCAAAUCAGAUUAGAGACCUGAGUAGUCCUAGCCGUAAACUUUUCUGUUAAUUUUUCCUUAAUUUAUUAGGGGGAGA